AGAGCGAACGCUGGCGGCAGGCCUAACACAUGCAAGUCGAGCGCCCGUAGCAAUACGGGAGCGGCAGACGGGAUAGUAACACGUGGGAACGCGCCCUUCGGUUCGGAAUAACUCAGGGAAACUUGAGCUAAUACCGGAUACGCCCUUACGGGGAAAGAUUUAUUGCCGAAGGAACGGCCCGCGUCCGAUUAGCUAGUUGGUGAGGUAAUGGCUCACCAAGGCGACGAUCGGUAGCUGGUCUGAGAGGAUGACCAGCAUCACUGGGACUGAGACACGGCCCAGACUCCUACGGGAGGCAGCAGUGGGGAAUAUUGGACAAUGGGCGCAAGCCUGAUCCAGCCAUGCCGCGUGGAUGAUGAAGGCCUUAGGGUUGUAAAGUCCUUUUAACGGGGAAGAUAAUGACGGUACCCGUAGAAUAGCCCCGGCUAACUUCGUGCCAGCAGCCGC
rnacentral:rRNA from 1 species